rnacentral:lncRNA from 1 species
GGUUAGUGACGUUGAAUCCAAAUGAUGGAUCCAUGACAGGCGUCACUGCGAUGAGCCACUCGCCGAUGAAUGGCUCGUGUAUUUGACAAAGUUGGGCCGCUGUGUUUACGGGAUGCCUGCGCCGCGACGUCGACCGUCAUGCGCUGGCCGUCCAGCGACGGCGCAAGCGUCCCACCCACAACGUCGUCAUCGAGCGAGCGACAGCCGAACCGUCUCCUGCACCGUCAGAUUUCCGUUCUUCACAAAAAGCGUCGAUCUUGGUUGCACGGCCGAUGUGUUGGUGAAUGUGCGUCGCGUCCGACCAGACGGUGCUUUAACUGGUCCGGGGGUUCCGUUCGCAGCCGGGGUGGACUCCGGGACAAGGCGCCACCAUUGAUCUGUGUUGCAAAAAAAUGGGGUGCACUUCGUCGGCAGAAGAGCGGGCCGCGCUGGCGAGGAGCAAAGCCAUCGAGAAGAACCUGAAGGAGGACGGCGCUCAAGCGGCCAAAGACAUCAAGCUCCUGCUGCUCGGUAUGUUCCGUCUAACAAUUAUGACGUUUCCUACACACAACCACCUGUCUAGUUUGUCAUUUAUGAUGUAUGGAAACGUCAAGUUAACUAAGACUGCCACCUUUAUACCUAUUAGAGAGUUAUUGGACAUGCUAAAUACUGUCAUGCAGUACUAAUGUUAUUCCUUAUUUUAAUACUGCAUUUGCGCUAUUUCUGUAACGAAAUGAUAGUUAUUGGAUUGGAUUCACUGCUUUCACUAUUAAACAUGUGUUAUUGUGUAACCUAACCUUACACAAUUUAUUAUUAAUCAUUUUA